AGCCCCCCGCGCCCCUCAGCUCCCAGCGCGUAGCACCCGCGGCCCGGGGCUAGCUCUCUGGGCCGCCUGCUCCCUGCGGGGCCCCCGAAGCGCGCGGGGCGGGCAAGAGGAGGGGCCAGGGGCCGGCCGGCCCGGCAGCGCUCCCCCAUCCUCUCCGGCCCCCCCGCCCCACUCCCGGCUCCCCCCUGCAGCGGACCGAGGUAGGGGCGAAGGGAGGGAGCGGCGGGCCGUCCAGCCCCGAGCCGAGGCGAGCCAUGUGGGCUGGACUGCUCCUGCGAGCUGCCGCAGCCGCCGCCUGCCUCGCGCUCUCCCUGCCCGCCGGCGUCUCCGCCCGAGGCUACACGGGGGGCAGGAAGAAGCCCGUUCCGUUCGCGGCCGAGAGACGCCGCCUGGGACCCCACGUUUGCCUCUCAGGGUUUGGAAGUGGUUGCUGCCCUGGCUGGGUGCCCUCUCUGGGCAGUGGACAAUGUACUCUCCCCCUAUGCUCCUAUGGUUGUGGCAGCGGCUUCUGCAUCGCUCCUAAUGUCUGCUCCUGCAGGGAUGGAGAGCAAGGCAUCACUUGCCCAGAAGCCCCUGGACCGUGUGGUGAGUAUGGUUGUGACUUGGCCUGUAACCAUGGCGGCUGUCAGGAGGUAGCCCGUGUCUGCCCGGUGGGGUUCUCCAUGAUAGAGACAGCCAUUGGCGUCAAAUGUACAGACAUUGAUGAAUGCUUAAGCUCCUCCUGUGAGGGCCUCUGUGUGAACACAGAAGGAGGGUUUGUGUGUGAGUGUGGGCCAGGUAUGCAGCUUUCUGCUGACCGACACAGCUGCCAGGACACCGAUGAGUGCAUGGGGGUUCCUUGUCAGCAGAGCUGCCAGAAUAGCAUCGGUAGCUACAGGUGCUCCUGCCGACCAGGCUUCUACCUCCAUGGUAACCGGCACUCCUGCGUUGAUGUGAACGAGUGUCGCCGACCCCCAGAGAGGCGUGUCUGUCAUCACUCCUGCCAGAAUACCAUGGGGAGUUUCCGCUGUGCCUGCCGGGCAGGCUUCCGCCUCAGUGCAGACAGGACGUCCUGCGAAGCAUUUCCAAAGGCUGUGCUCGCCCCAUCGGGCAUCCUCCAGUCCCUCCAGCACCCCCCAAAGAUGCUGCUGCUCUUCCCGGAGUCUGGCCUGCCCGCCCUGCCUCCCGGCCACGGCCCUCCUUCUUGGGCACCUGGCCCCCCACCAGUAAUCAACACGACUCCUCUCCUGAUGCUGACCUCAGCACUGCCAGCCUCCUCCACCUCUGCCCAGUCCCCGACGUCCUCAGCUCCAGUGGUCACCCCAUCUCCCAGUUCCUCCUCCCAGGGAAGAACGGUGAAGCCAUCGAUCCUGGCGGGACUGCUGCCCCCUUCGCUCUUGCACGGCGAGGCAGUGAGGACCCCUUCCCCUCCCAGGGGCCCCUCGACCUCUCAGCCUUUGACUGUGCCGUCCCCUUGCGGGCACCAAGGAACCGCUCGUGAGCACGGAAGCCACUGGACUGAGCCUGGCUGCUUGCACUGUGGGUGCCAGGACGGCCAGGUGACCUGCGAGAAAGUGAGGUGUAAAGCCACCUGUUCCCACCCGCUGCCCUCCCGAGAUGGUGGGUGCUGUCCCGAUUGUUCAGGUUGUUUUUAUGAUGGUUUACCCAGAGCCGAAGGGGACGUGUUCUCCCCUCCCAAUGAGAACUGCACCGUCUGCGUCUGUCUCGCUGGGAAUGUGUCAUGCAUCGCCCCCGAGUGUCCUCCUGGUCCUUGCCUGACCCCUCCACAAUCUGACUGCUGCCCCUGCAUUCCAGUGAGAUGCUAUUUUCAUGGCCGAUUCUACCCAGAAGGGGCUGAGUUCAGCGGGGAUGGGGACGAGUGUACCACCUGUGUCUGCCAGCAUGGGGAAGUCCAGUGUUCCUUCACGCCUUGCCCAGAGCUGGACUGUCCAAGAGAGGAGUGGCAGUUGGGACCAGGCCAGUGCUGCUUCACCUGCCGAGAGCCCACACCAGUGUCAGGCUGCUCUCUGGAUGACAAUGGAAUUGAAUUUCCCAUUGGACAGAUCUGGUCCCCUGGUGAUCCCUGUGAGUUAUGCAUUUGCCAGGUGAAUGACAACCUGUUCUACCUCACUCAGCUUUACCUGCUCCCCGGCUUGGUCCAGAGAUGGAAAGCUCCUGCUCUGGCCUGUUGCCAGGCCUUCUCCAGAGUCCUGUCAUUGUUACCUGCCUCAGGCUGCCAUCUCAUUAGCUCUGGUAUAGCCAUCCAGGCCCUCUGUUGAGCAAUAGGUUGGGACCCAGGGCAUUCUGUUAAAUCAAAUCUGGGGAAAUGGAGGUUGGCCAUAUAACCAAAUACUUCUGAUGGAAAAAAAAUCAAGCUGAGAGGCCACGUGGUGUAGUGGUAGAGAGCGGGCCUAGCCCUCAGGAAGACCUGGGUUCCAGUCCUGCCUUUGCUACCUUCUGGUUUUAUGACCCUGGGCAAGUGACCUGACCUUCCUAGCCUCAGUUUCCUCAUCUGUAAAGCGAAAGUCUUGGACUAGAUGGUCUCCAUGUUCCCUUUGAGUUGUGAUCUCCUGAGAAGAGAGACACCCAUCUCUGUGCAUGCUUUCCAAGCCAUUAUUACUGAGCUGAGUCCACAAACCUCAGUGACAGUUUGCCCCAAGCAUUGGCAGAUGGUUCUGUGAGCUGUGAGAGGACCGACUGUGUGGAAACCUGUCCUCACCCUAUUCGGAUCCCAGGACAGUGCUGCCCCG